rnacentral:tRNA from 1 species
CUCUCCAUCGAUGUGUUAGGACUGAAACUGGUCAGUCAGCGAAAAGUACUGGGUUCGAGUCCCAGAGUGAAA